AUAGUGUCCCAUGUAUUCACAGUCACCUGGCAGAAAACCGGAGUCCUCCUGGAGCGUCCUGUCGCCUUGGUAACAGACGCGCUCUCCGCACUUCCGGGUUUCCAAAAACGUAACAUUUCUUACAGUGUAUCAUCUCCUCAUUUAGCUAGGUAGCAAUAUCAAUGUUCGUCUGUGGCUCGGUUACUUUAUAAUAUUGAUGAUUCGGUGAUAUCCGCUCUGUUGUUGGUUGGUAAAAAACACACGGGCUAUCGUAAUGUUUGAGUCAGAGCCGCGGGCUGGGGUAACGGAGGAGGAGGAGAGGAGAGAGGCAGAGCAGCUAGAGACAGAGUUGGAUAAAUACUUCUUCACGGUGUUUGACGGCUCGUCUCCUGAAGAUGUGUCUCACGCCAAGCAGCUGUGGACCUCUUUGUCACUGCUGCCUCCGCUAGAGUCCCGCCUGGUCAACGCAGACAUCCGCCAGAGGCUGCCGAUAGCCCGGACAAACCAAGAGACACUCCUGGUAGUCGGUAAGACACCAAUGCUGCUCUCAAACCAUCUUCUUCGGACCAUAGAGAGAGGCUGCAGGAGGUUCGCCAUCAGAAGCAGAGACAGGAGGACAGGCUGCAGGAGGUUCGCCAUCAGAAGCAGAGACAGGAAGAGAGACAGAGAUACAUGGACAUGGCCAGACGGAGAGAGGACAUCAUCAACAUGCUACAUCAACAGAGACAGAAGAGGAUCCAGGUGAAACACCGUGUUACUAUACUUAGGGAAACAGUCUCGCUCCCCUACAAGCCUAGGCAGAGGGACAAGAGUGAGAGGCUGGCUGUUAACCCCCCAGGGCACCUGGACACAGACGUGGAGGAGGUCCGAAGGCUUCAGUAACACACAGACCUCGGCGUCAGAACAGAACCAGGCGGAUCCAUGUCUGCAGGAGUUGAUGUUUUAGUUACAGUGACUUCCUGUUUUUAUAAAGUCUGUCUUUGAUGAA